UUCUAAAAUCUAUGGAGUGUGGAACACCAAAAGGCAAAAUUUUCAACAAAGGGAUAAGAGAGGACAAAACCCUAAAGGCCAAAUUCUCAACAAAGGAAGAGGACAGAGUAAAAAUGGCACGAGAAAGAAGAUAAGAUGUAGAAAUGAUGAUUAAAGAAAGUAUUUCAAGUGUUCAUUUUUUUAGCUGCAUGAUUAUAAUAAAGCAUCAUGCCUAAAUUUGACUAAGGCAUCGAGUAAAUUAUUCUUUAGUUUAUGGGAUUUGAGCACUAUCAUGGCAUGGCUUCUUCGAUUAUUGUUAACUUAGCAGCAUGUUUUCAACACUCCUCGGCUUGGUCCAAACCAAGACUGCAAUUUCAGAAUUUCCUUGUCGAAUGGCCUGUUCUUCUGUCCUAUUAAAAACAUAUCUUCUUUUUUCUCUAAAUUAUAUUCUCGCUAUGUUUGAUUUUAUUCAUGAAUUCAAAUGGAUUAGGGAAAAACCAACACGGCUAGAGGGUAAGGUGGCAUUAAUCACUGGAGGGUCUAGUUGCAUAGGAGAGUCCACUGCCAGACUGUUCGCCAAACAUGGAGCUAAAGUGGUGAUUGCAGACGUUCAAGAUGUACUAGGCCACUCUGUUUGCGAAGAAUUGAAGAUUGAAUCAGCCUCAUUCGUCCACUGUGACGUUACUCGAGAAAAAGAUGUUGAAAAUACUGUUAACACAGCUGUUGUUGAAAAUAAACUAGAUUUUUUGUUCUUUAAAAUCAAGAUGAACAGUUGAGUCGGCAAAAUUACUUUCUAGUUAGAAUAAAUUUCUUGUUUGGUUCGAUUUUUUAUUUGCUUAGGACUUUAACUUGUAAUCAUAUUCAUAAUAUAGGCUGUUUCGUGUCCUUUAGGUUACUA